UACGUAGGGUGCGAGCGUUAAUCGGAAUUACUGGGCGUAAAGCGUGCGCAGGCGGUGAGCUGUGUCCGAUGUGAAAGCCCCGGGCUUAACCUGGGAAUGGCAUUGGAAACUGGCUCGCUGGAGUGUGGCAGAGGGGGGUGGAAUUCCGCGUGUAGCAGUGAAAUGCGUAGAGAUGCGGAGGAACACCGAUGGCGAAGGCAGCCCCCUGGGCUAACACUGACGCUCAGGCACGAAAGCGUGGGGAGAAAACAGG
rnacentral:rRNA from 1 species